ensembl:lncRNA
AAACCAAUCUGUUAAUUAUCCCCAGAGUAAACACGAAACAUGGGAAAGCAGGAUUUAGUUACUAUGCAACAAAUAGCUGGAAUAAACUCCCUGAGGAUUUAAGACUUGCCCCAACUCUGAGCACCUUUAAAACAAGAUUGAAGACUUUUAUGUUUGCUUUAGCUUUCUGCUAAAUUUUAAAUACUUUGCCUUUAUUUUACUAAAAUGCCUUUUUAACUUUCCCUUUAUUUUCUAUUUUUACCAGAAAGAUACAUGAUCUGAUACCAGAGAGAAAGGAUAAGGGUUUGAGACCCAAGUUCUGUCUGGGUUAGAGUCCUAGAAUCUGGGUUGGAGUCCCAGAGAAAGGACCAAGUUCCUUAGGUCGGGUUGGAGUCCCAGAGAAAGGACCAAGUUCCUUUAGGUCGGGUUGGAGUCCCGACGUGGGUUCCUUUGGUUCGUGGUUAGUGUUAUGUUGUUUUGAUUCCUGCCGUGGAAUCACAGAUAUUGGUUGUGUUGAAUCUGAGAGGAACAAAAAGUGAGCCAUCAUCUGGUGUUGGCAUACCGAGCUCCGUGGGAGACGUUUCCAAGUUCUGUCCGGGUUAGAGUCCUAGAAUCUGGAUUGGAGUCCCAGAGAAAGUACCUUUAGGUCGGGUUGGAGUCCCGACUUGGGUUCCAGAGAGACUGUUGAUCUGAUCUUAAAUACAUUGCACUUUCAAUUUUACUUACUUAAAAAGCCUUUUUAACUUUCAAUUUAAUUGUCUAUUUUUACCAGAAAGAUACAUGAUCUGAUACCAGAGAGAAAGGAUAAGGGUUACUAGAAUCCUGGUUGGAGUCCCAGAGAAAGUACCAAGUUCCUUUAGGUCGGGUUGGAUACCAGAGAGACUGUUGAUGUGAUCUUAAAUACAUUGCACUUUCUAUUUUACUCAUUUCUUUGCAUAUGUUUUCUUUUACUUAUCUAUUAUUUUAUUUUAUUGUAUGACAAUGUUUAUAUGUGAAGCAAUUUGAGUCUGCCUUGUGUAUGAAAAGUGCUAUAUAAAU